rnacentral:rRNA from 1 species
UAUUUUUAAAUAAGCUAUUAAGGGCUAAUGGUGGAUGCCUAGACUGUAAGAGGCGAUGAAGGACGUAUUAGACUGCGAUAAGCUUCGGGGAGUUGUCAAAAAACUUUGAUCCGAAGAUUUCCGAAUGGGGCAACCCAGCAUGGUGUGAAUCAUGUUACCCGAAAGGGGGCGAACCUGGUGAAGUGAAACAUCUCAGUAACCAGAGGAAGAGAAAUCAAAAGAGAUUCCCAUAGUAGCGGCGAGCGAAAUGGGAUUAGGACAAACCCAAUGCUUGCAUUGGGGGUUGUAGGACUACAACAUAAGACUAAAGAAGAUAGAUGAAUCAGCUGGAAAGUUGAGGCGUAGAGAGUGAAACCCUCGUAAUCGAAAUCUUCGAUAGCUUUAGUAGUAUCCUGAGUAGGACGGAACACGUGAUAUUUUGUCUGAAUCUAGGGGGACCACCCUCUAAUCCUAAAUACUACUUACAGAUCGAUAGUGAACAAGUACCGUGAGGGAAAGGUGAAAAGUACCCCAGUGAGGGGAGUGAAA